UCUGUAAGGAUGGUAAUCUGCCU
rnacentral:piRNA from 2 species